GGCGUGGGCCAUACCACCCUGAAUGCUCCCGAUCUCGUCUGAUCUCAGAAGCUAGACAGGGUCAGGCGUGGUUAGUACUUGCAUGAGAGCAUGGGACCAGAGCAUGGGACCAAAGCCA
rnacentral:rRNA from 1 species